CCCCUCACCUGGGGUACCCCUCACCUUGGUGCCCCUCACCUGGGGUACCCCUGACCCUGGUCCCGCUCCCCUGGCUGCCCUCCCUCCGUCCCUCGCUCCCUCCCGCAGGCUCACCUGGAUGGGGGCCGUGCUGAACUGGAUCUUGCGGUUGGGGACGGGCUCCUCCUCCUCGGACAGCCCCGGGAUCUCCACGCAGCCCGACUCGGGCUCGUACAGCCCUUCGGACAGCCCCGGGAUCUCCACGCAGCCCGACUCGGGCUCGUACAGCCCUUCGGCCUCCUCCUCCUCCUCCAGCCCGCUGCCCCCCGAGUCCUCCCCGAGCCCGCUGUAGGCACUUAUGUCCACCAGGUCCGCC
rnacentral:lncRNA from 12 species